rnacentral:rRNA from 1 species
UACGAAGGGGGCGAGCGUUGUUCGGAAUUACUGGGCGUAAAGCGCACGUAGGCGGGUCGUUAAGUCAGGGGUGAAAUCCCGGAGCUCAACUCCGGAACUGCCUUUGAUACUGGCGAUCUUGAGAUCGGAAGAGGUGAGUGGAAUUCCCAGUGUAGAGGUGAAAUUCGUAGAUACUGGGAGGAACACCAGUGGCGAAGGCGGCUACCUGGACCGGUUCUGACGCUGAGGCGCGAAAGCGUGGGUAGCAAACAGG